UUUCUGAGGUCCCAAAAUUUCACCAGUUUACUACAGACCUCUGUUUCCUCCUUCACCAAAAUGUAAAGCCUAAAGACCUAACAAUAGGAAGAAAAUGGGGCUCCAAAUGACCAGCAGAAAGAUUAUGCGGGUUUUGUUUAUCUCGAAACAAUCAAUUUUUCGUCGAUUAUCGGCACCCCAACAGGUUCUUAUCAUUUGUG
rnacentral:lncRNA from 1 species